GAUGGAAAGAAAACCAUGCAACGUUUAUGAAUGAACUGAAAAACCUUCAGGCUGAAGGACUUACGACUCUUGGCCAAUCCCUAAGGACAGCUUUUGAUUUAUUAAAUUUAAAUAGAUUAGUAACUGGCAUAGACAACUAUGGGCAGGGAAGAAACCCUUUUUUCUUGGAGCCAGCAAUAAUUAUUACAAUUACUGAUGGGAGCAAGUUGACUACUACUAGUGGAGUCCAGGAUGAGCUCCAUUUACCUCUUAAUUCUCCUUUGCCUGGAAGUGAAUUGACCAAGGAACCUUUUCGUUGGGAUCAGAGACUCUUUGCAUUAGUGUUGCGGUUGCCUGGCACCAUGUCAGUAGAAUCAGAACAGUUGACAGGUGUACCUUUAGAUGACUCUGCAAUCACACCAAUGUGUGAAGUGACAGGCGGCCGCUCAUAUUCUGUAUGUUCUCCAAGAAUGCUUAAUCAAUGUCUGGAGUCCUUGGUGCAGAAAGUGCAAAGUGGAGUGGUAAUAAACUUUGAAAAAGCAGGACCAGAUCCUUCCCCUGUAGAAGAUGGACAGCCAGAUAUAUCAAGGCCUUUUGGAUCUCAGCCUUGGCAUAGCUGUCACAAACUUAUAUAUGUCAGACCAAAUCCUAAAACUGGGGUUCCUAUAGGUCAUUGGCCUGUUCCAGAAUCUUUUUGGCCAGAUCAGAAUUCUCCAACACUACCACCUCGUACAUCUCAUCCUGUAGUGAAGUUUUCCUGUACAGACUGUGAACCAAUGGUUAUUGACAAACUGCCUUUUGACAAAUAUGAGUUGGAACCUUCACCACUGACUCAAUUUAUCCUAGAAAGGAAAUCUCCUCAAACAUGUUGGCAGGUAUAUGUGAGCAAUAGUGCAAAGUAUAGUGAACUUGGUCAUCCUUUUGGUUACUUGAAAGCCAGUACAGCACUGAACUGUGUCAAUUUAUUUGUGAUGCCUUAUAAUUAUCCAGUCCUUCUUCCUCUCUUAGAUGACUUGUUUAAAGUGCAUAAAGCAAAACCAACAUUGAAAUGGAGACAGUCGUUUGAAAGUUAUUUGAAGACAAUGCCUCCCUAUUAUCUUGGGCCGUUGAAGAAAGCUGUUAGAAUGAUGGGAGCGCCUAACCUAAUAGCAGACAGCAUGGAAUAUGGACUGAGUUAUAGUGUCAUUUCAUACCUCAAAAAAUUGAGUCAACAGGCCAAAAUAGAAUCUGAUCGAGUCAUCGGAUCCGUAGGCAAAAAAGUAGUACAGGAGACCGGAAUUAAAGUCCGAAGCCGAUCACAUGGUUUAUCAAUGGCAUAUAGGAAAGAUUUUCAACAACUGCUCCAGGGAAUUUCAGAGGAUGUCCCUCACAGACUUCUAGACCUUAAUAUGAAGGAAUACACUGGGUUCCAAGUUGCUUUGCUGAAUAAGGAUUUGAAGCCACAGACAUUUAGAAAUGCUUAUGACAUACCAAGACGGAAUCUUUUGGAUCAUUUAACGAGAAUGAGAUCUAAUCUUUUGAAGAGCACCCGCAGAUUUCUUAAAGGACAGGAUGAAGAUCAAGUGCACAGUGUUCCUAUAGCACAAAUGGGGAAUUACCAGGAAUACCUCAAGCAAGUACCUUCUCCACUAAGGGAACUUGAUCCUGAUCAGCCUCGAAGGCUGCAUACAUUUGGCAACCCCUUUAAGCUGGAUAAAAAGGGUAUGAUGAUAGAUGAAGCAGAUGAAUUUGUGGCUGGACCUCAAAAUAAACAUAAACGACCUGGAGAACCAAAUAUGCAAGGGAUCCCUAAAAGACGUAGGUGUAUGUCUCCACUCUUGAGAGGCAGGCAGCAGAAUCCUGUUGUGAACAAUCAUAUUGGAGGAAAAGGACCACCUGCACCUGUGACUCAAGCACAGCCAGAUCUUAUUAAACCCCUUCCUUUUCAUAAAAUUUCAGAACCCACUAAUGAUUCAACAAUAGAUGAUGUGGUUGAAAAUCAUGUUGCAGACCAACUUUCAUCAGACAUUACACCAAAUGCUAUGGAUGCUGAGUUUUCAGCAUCUUCUUCAGCCAACUUAUUGGAACGACCAACCAAUCAUAUGGAGGCUCUUGGUCAUGACCAUUUAGGAACUAAUGACCUCACUGUUGGUGGAUUUUUAGAAAAUCAUGAGGAGCCAAGAGAUAAAGAACAGUGUGCUGAAGAGAAUAUACCAGCAUCUUCACUCAACAAAGGAAAGAAAUUGAUGCAUUGCAGAAGCCACGAAGAGGUCAAUACUGAAUUAAAAGCACAAAUAAUGAAAGAGAUCCGAAAGCCAGGAAGAAAAUAUGAAAGAAUCUUCGCUUUACUGAAGCAUGUGCAAGGCAGUUUACAAACAAGACUAAUAUUUUUACAAAAUGUCAUUAAAGAAGCAUCAAGGUUUAAAAAACGAAUGCUAAUAGAACAACUGGAGAGCUUCUUGGAUGAAAUUCAUCGAAGAGCCAAUCAGAUCAACCAUAUUAAUAGCAAUUAAAAGAAAAUAGGAUGUGGCCACUUAUUUCACUAUCUUCUCCAAAUACAAAGUAAAUACAAGACUGUUGUGAUCUUGCAUUCAUUUUUGACAUGCAUUGUUGUCUAUUUGAAAUACUAAAAGCAAGUCUACAGAUUCUUUUUCCAUCAUUUUACAGUAACCUUUUCUUCAUUUUGGUUUAUUUUUGUAAUGUGAAAAGUAUCACUCUAAAAAACAUUUUUAUUUAACAAACUAAAAAUAUUCCUCCAGAUUUCUUGCUUGUCAUUGACUCUUGCGUGUCAAUUUCCCUCAGGUUCUAUUUUCUUAAACCAACCUUUAAAAUUGUCACCUCUGUUAAGGUUGAACUUUGCCAAAAAAAAAAUUAAAAAGAAGUUACUUUGUAAUUUUUGGGGAAAAAAGCACAUACAUUAAAACUAGGUAAUGUUUUGUAUAUACAGUUAUUUUGGAUAUAUUAUUGUAAGUUGUACAAAUGUAUUUUGAAGAAUAUUUAAGAAAAGCACUUUUGUUAUUCCAUCAAUAAAUGCUCUAUUUUACUCUUGUGUGGUUUAGGAAAUAAUCACAUUUAAAGUAAUCAUUUAAAAACAUCCUAAGAUAAUGGAAUUUUAAAGGCCUUUCUUUUUUGCAUUGAAAAAAUACACCACUUGAAGUUCAUAUUUGUUAAACCUAACUGUAAUUACAUGUUACAUAAUCUGCAUUGUCAUUUUAUUAUAUGUUCAUAGUUUUUGUUGGCCACACCAACAUACUCCCAUUUCUGCCUAGGUAAUGGGAAUGACUGUGUCUGGCGGAUAGGCAGACACUUUCAAAGCUGUUUAAAGAGCAGACAACCUUGGACACGACCGGUUUCUUUACUUCCCUUCAACCCAUUUUCCUUUCUCAUUAGGAUUGUGGAUGGCACUAAGUUGAAGCUGUUAGGUAGGGAGUGGUGGGAAAAUUGAGGCUUAAAGAGUUUAAGAACCUUGCCCAUGGUGGACCUCAAUUCAAAUCAAGGCUGUGUGACUGCAGAGCCCAGCUCUGAUCGUCUACGCUUUGCUACGUCCCAACUCGUGUGGCAUGUCACACAGUAGGUGAAGAAAAGAAGUUGCUGACUAAUUGACAAUAGUCUCAUUUAAUAUGUUCAUAUUGGAUAAGACCUAUUUUCCUGUUUGCCAUGUGUGAUGUGUGUCUUUGAGGCACAGCAGGGAAGGAAUGCCACUGAAAGCCUUGGUUUUCCUUGUAAGCCCUUGUGAGCAGGCAGUAUCAGCACACCAACUUUGUAGUAUUUCCCCAAGGGCAAGGCAUUUAAAAAUUUACUGUUGAAGGAUCCUUUAAAAGGGCAGCUGAUAUUAUUUUUCUCUGAAAAUAAAAAAGUUUGAAAUGGAA